rnacentral:rRNA from 1 species
AACGAACGCUGGCGGCAUGCUUAACACAUGCAAGUCGAACGAGACCUUCGGGUCUAGUGGCGCUCGGGUGCUUAACGCCUGGGAACUUGCCCUUAGGUUCGCAACAACUCCCUGAGAGGGGUGCUAAUACCGGAUAAUGUCGUCGGUCCAAAGAUCUAUCGCCUUUGGAUGGGCCCGCGUUGGAUUAGCUAGUUGGUAGGGUAAAAGCCUACCAAGGGGACGAUCCAUAGCUGGUUUGAGAAGAUGAUCCGGCACACUGGGACUGAGACACGGCUCAGACUCGUACGGAAGGGAGCAGUGGGGAAUAUUGGACGACGGGCGAGAGACUAAUCCAGCAGUGCCGCGUGAGUGAUGAAGGCGUUAGGAUAGUACAGCUCUUUUACACGGGGUGAUAAUGACGGUACCGGGAGAAUAAGCUCCGGCUAACUCCGUG